rnacentral:rRNA from 1 species
UACGUAGGUGGCAAGCGUUGUCCGGAAUUAUUGGGCGUAAAGCGCUCGCAGGUGGUCCGUCGCGUCGUGCGUGAAAGACCCCGGCUCAACCGGGGGGCGUCGUGCGAUACGGGCGGACUGGAGGCCAGUAGGGGGAUGCGGAAUUCCGGGUGUAGUGGUGGAAUGCGUAGAGAUCCGGAGGAACACCAGCGGCGAAGGCGGCAUCCUGGACUGGUCCUGACACUCAGGAGCGAAAGCGUGGGGAGCGAUCCGG